rnacentral:rRNA from 1 species
AAGCGGUGGAGCAUGUGGUUUAAUUCGACGCAACGCGAAGAACCUUACCUAGGUUUGACAUCCCGGGGAGUCUUUUGAAAGAGAGAUGUGCCUUUCGGGGAGCCCGGAGACAGGUGCUGCAUGGCUGUCGUCAGCUCGUGUCGUGAGAUGUUGGGUUAAGUCCCGCAACGAGCGCAACCCUUAUCUUUAGUUACCAGCACUUCGGGUGGGGACUCUAGAGAUACUGCCCCGGUCAACGGGGAGGAAGGUGGGGAUGACGUCAAAUCAUCAUGCCCCUUAUGACCUGGGCUACAAACGUGAUACAAUGGCUGAAACAAAGGGCAGCGAAGCAGUGAUGUGAAGCGAAACCCAAAAAGCAGUCUCAGUUCGGAUUGAAGUCUGCAACUCGACUUCAUGAAGUCGGAAUCGCUAGUAAUCGUGGAUCAGAAUGUCACGGUGAAUACGUUCCCGGGUCUU